GGCAGGUAUGUAAAGAGUGCUUGCUCCAGUCUCCAUUAAAUCACUUUAAAUGAGAUAAUGUUUGAAGUAGAUUGGAACUGAAUAAUUAUCAACAUGGAUGGCAUCAUGCAGUGCCACAAGCUUGAAAAUUUCUGAACUUGGAGUGACAUGAUGAUACAUUUACAGUAUGUAAGAUUAUAAUAGCAAAGACCUGGAACCAACCCAAAUACCCAUCAAUGAUAGACUGGAAAAUGAAAAUGUGGCACAUAUACAACAUGGAAUACUAUGCAGCCAUAAAAAAUGGAUUACUAAUUAUUUUCUGAAGACAUGAAGAAUUAUUGUAAAUGAAGCAUUACUGUGUGGCUUUUGAUACAUGGACUUGUUUGUACCAACAAAGAAGAAUAUCAUACCAUCUGAUGAAUUGUGGAUCAUUUAGUCUAUGCUUUCGCUUUCAAACAAAAGUCUAUGUAAACUUGAC